AUUGAACGCUGGCGGCAGGCCUAACACAUGCAAGUCGAACGGUAACAGGAAACAGCUUGCUGUUUCGCUGACGAGUGGCGGACGGGUGAGUAAUGUCUGGGAAACUGCCUGAUGGAGGGGGAUAACUACUGGAAACGGUAGCUAAUACCGCAUGACGUCGCAAGACCAAAGAGGGGGACCUUCGGGCCUCUUGCCAUCGGAUGUGCCCAGAUGGGAUUAGCUAGUAGGUGGGGUAACGGCUCACCUAGGCGACGAUCCCUAGCUGGUCUGAGAGGAUGACCAGCCACACUGGAACUGAGACACGGUCCAGACUCCUACGGGAGGCAGCAGUGGGGAAUAUUGCACAAUGGGCGCAAGCCUGAUGCAGCCAUGUCGCGUGUAUGAAGAAGGCCUUCGGGUUGUAAAGUACUUUCAGCGGGGAGGAAGGGAGUAAAGUUAAUACCUUUGCUCAUUGACGUUACCCGCAGAAGAAGCACCGGCUAACUCCGUGCCAGCAGCCGCCGCUG
rnacentral:rRNA from 1 species